rnacentral:piRNA from 1 species
AAAUAUUGAUGAAAUCAGACCUGAAG